UUUCAAACACUCUUUCUGUGGAAUCUGCAAGUGGAUAUUUGCACCACUUUGUGGUCUUCCUUCGAAACGGAAGCAUUCUCAGAAACUGCUUUGUGAUGAUUGCAUUCAACUCACAGAGUUGAAGAUUGCAUUUGAAACAGCAGUUUCUAAACACUCUUUCUGUGGGAUCUGCAAGUGGAUAUUUGGACCUCUUUGAAGAUUUCGUUGGAAAAGGGAUAAUCUUCACAUAAAAGCUAAACUGAAGCAUUAUCAGAAACUUCUUUGUGAUGCGUGCAUUCAACUCACAGAGUUGAACAUUCCUUUAGAUAGA
rnacentral:lncRNA from 1 species